GCUCGGGCCCCGCGCGGCGGAGGGAAGGCGCCAACCCAAAGGGGUUCGCGGGCCGAGAGCGGUCGGGAGGCUGGGCCCGGCGACAGCGGCGAGGCCCCGCAAGCGGUCCCGGAGGCGUGAGGAGCGUGCGGGAUAGGCCCCUGUGUGCGCGUGGGACAGGAACUGUCCUCGCCCGGCGGGACAGCGGGGACCCAGCGCCCGCUCACUAAGCAGGAUGCUGUCCGUGCCGGAGAGCUUCUGCUGCGGGCGCUGACAUCCUGCCCGCGAUUUCUGAAUCGCUUCUAGAAGCACAGACAGCUCUUGAUCGAUUUGCUUUCCACAGAACUCAAUCAGGGUAAUUAUAUUUAUUUUGUAGUCUCCUUAAAGCCAAACAGUUGCAGAGGACAGCCUAGGAAAGUUUUUUAAGCAUACUGAGUUCCAAGGAUAUUUUAAUUCAGUUUGUAACAAUAGGGCUAGUUUUUUCCCCUCUCUUGCUCUUCAAAUCUUUAUGUUACUGGGAGCCUUGCGUGAUCAUCUUUAGGAGGGGCAGGGACUACUGGAGAGAAAUGUAGCAGCUUACAUGUUUUUAAGUUCUUGGUGGAUGUGUUCGUGUCACAUGGGCCCUUCCCUGCCAUAUUGUAGGGAUUCUGGAAUAACGAUAACUGUGCAGUAGUUGCAGGGGCAAAGACUGCCAUUUUCAGGACAAAACAGUGAUAUCCCACAGACCAUCUUGCCGUGCAGACAGGAGAGUGAAAGGCUGAAAGAUGAAGAGGAUCACCAGCUGAAGAGAACUGCAGUCACAGCCCUGUUAGACGCAGUGAGUGAAGACUUGCUGCUCCCAUGAACUUUGGGGGCAGUGGGAAGGCAAGCAUCUGCGUGCAUUGGUAACUUUGCCAGAGUCUCAUUAAUCAUUCAGCUAGGCUUGAAGUCUAUGAGGGCAAGAACUGUAUUAUGUGUAUCAUCAUAUCUUCACGCUAGCACAGUGCCUGGCACAGCAGGUACUGAAUGAAUAAAGGAUACCUCCCCUCA